rnacentral:lncRNA from 1 species
CCCCUCUUAAAAUAAAAGUUUUAUCUUCGAAACUUGACAUACCUUCAUUUUCAAAUAAAUGAGGAUACUUUAUCUCCAUAUUAUCUUUAUCAUACUUUAGAUCAGUUUCUGUCAACUCUAAUUUUCUUAUGACGUAAUUCUUAAAUAAAGCAUCGAUGAGAACAACUUUUCUUAAGUGAAGAGAUCACAUAUAGUAAUUUAUUUAAUUC